CUACUUAAACUGUUGAAAAAUGUGCCAGGUAAAGCUUUGCUUUUCUGUAACUGUAUUCUCCAGGGGAAAUUUUAGUGCUUUGCUUACAAAUGUGAUGGGUACAAAUGGGGUUUUUAAGUGGAUGGUGUCCAAUUCCUGUCCUUGUGGUUUAUAAAAAGCAUAAAGCAAAUUGAGACAAGUUGUAUGCUGAUAGUUGUUUUUUCUCAAAGAGGUUCUCGUAAACAUUUUACUAUUUACCAUUCUGAAUGUUUUGUUUUUAGAGUGCCUUGAAACAUGUUUUCAUACUUAAAUUGCAGGUCUAUAGCUUUUCAUGUUGUCUGUUUCACCAGAUAGUCUUCGAUCAGAAAUAUCUUGUCUUAUUAUUUCAUUAGCUAUCCUUUACACAGAGUCACCAGGAGAGGAGACUGUAUGUAGUCUGGAUGUGUGAUCUAAGUUUUAAUUCCAGUACAUCUGUGUAGCAGAAGUGAAGCAAUCCACAGAUCUGCAUAGAUGCAACGUGGCAAGAAAGCUUCUGGACAUUUCUUUUUAGAAAUCUCCAAAAGACUAACUUCAGCCAACAAUAAGCAUUUGGGAAUCUUGGGUCAACAUUUAACUCCAUUUUCUUCACCUGUUUUCCUGGAAGCCGAACAGAAAAGAAAAGCCAAAAUCUUUGGCAGGGCCCUAAUACCCAUGAAAAGACAAUUUCAAGUUUGUUAACUGUCAAAGAACACGUGAGAAGUUAGCAUUUUUGCUGUAAAAUCUUUGUAUCCAGCUUGUCAUCUAUGAUAAAAGGAGGUAGUAGGCAGAUGCAGUAUCUGUGGAGAAAAGGAAAGAGGUACACGGUAUUACAUGGAAGAAUAAAUAAACUUUAUUGAUGUAUGUAUAACUGAUUAUCUGCAACUGAUAUCGUAUUAACUAGCAUGUGUUCCACACCAAGUAUGUCACUGAACCAGCUUGUGCAAGUCUGAUUUUUUUUCUGAGGGAAAGAUGUUUAUACUUGCUUUCCCAUUCUGGUUUCCUUUAAACAGGCUGUUGACUCAAAUCUAGUUAGCUAGAUGGGCUAGUGGUUUUUGUUGUUUUUUUACAAGCAAGUAGCAUGUUGUCGAAGGUUGUUGUCACUAGUGACUGAAAUACAGAAUUUAAAACCAGGACUCUGGAGUGGAAAGCUGGGAUGUUGAACUCCUCUGACCAGAUAAGCAUCUGGCUGCCUGCUGUUGCCUCAGGUUUUAUGCUGCAAACCCCUCAUCUGCAUCAACUUAUUGGAGAGUGGUUCUAUGUUAACUGGAAAUAUAUAAUCAGCAAAGCCCUUUUCGUCUGAAAGAUAGGAGGAAUCAAGCUUCUUAGAGUCAGUUACUUGGGAUUGGAGCCACAGAAUGGCUGAGGCUAGAAGGGACCUCUGGAGGCCAUCUGGUCCAACCCCUCUGCUCCAGGAGGGCCACCCAGAGCAGGGUGCCUAGCACCACGUCCAGGUGGCUUUUGAAGAUCUCCAAGGAGGCGACCCCAGAACCUCUCUGGGCAGUGUGUGCCAGUGCUCAGUCACCCACACAGUAAUGAAGUGCUUCUUGAUGUUCAGAAGGAACCUUUUGUGUUCCAGUUUGUGCCCACUGUCUCUUGUCCUGGUACUGUGCACCACUGAGAAGAGCCUGGUUCCACCAUCUUUGCACCCUCCCUUCAGGUAUUUAUAGACACUGGUAAGUUUUCUGUUAAGUUGUGGGCAAAUCAGAAAUAACCAGUUUGUAAGAGAAAUCCUCUUGGAACAAUCUUAACAGACUAAUGGGGAAAGACUGAGUUUUACAUGAGUUUUACAUAUGAGUCUCUUCACUUACAUGUGUUGAUUUUACCAGGGUAUAAGUUCUUUGUUCUAGUGAGUGAAUUCUCGUUGGCUGGAAGUGAGACCGCAGUUCUGCUGACUGUGAAAGAGGUGAUUGCUUGAACUGCUUCUUGAAAGUGGGAGGGAGGGAGAAAUCAUAUUGGUACACUAGCAUCUAAUGUAGCAGUAGUACUGUUGUCUUCGUCUACUCUUUAAUGCAAGACCAUCUCUUACAUUUCUUAAUUGAGGGUACUCUUAUCUGCAGACAGUUAUAGGAAGUAAGAGUUUUUGCCUUCUGGUUAGCAGGUAAAUGGACUUUUUCACUUGAAAAGAGCAAUGGAAACAGAUUGCUACCAUUCAUUUUACUUGGGACUUCUACUUAAACUGAUGACAAAGAAAGAAAUCAGCAUUAAAAGAUGCCUUUUUUGGCCAUUAAUCUACACUUGUGCAAUAGGAACGUCGUCUGUGCGUGCUUUGGAUCAUCUUAAGCGUAGGAGCUGGGGGGCUUGUGUGGAUUAGGCCUUGGCAGAGGUAUAGAUUUUUGGCAGUGCCUUGAACCAGGACAUGGUGAUGCAUGCAAGUAGACUAAACAUAGGAGAGAAAUCUUAAAGCCAUUACCCUUACAAAAGGUAUGUUUGUCCUUGAGUUGGAAUGCUUUAAAUAAUGUGGUGUAGGGACAGAUAAGGUGUGGCAAGACCUGUUCCAGUUCUUUUUUCAUACAAGCAAUAGGUGAGCAUGUAAGGGAUGAGAUUCUGGGGUAAGUAGUCUUGAAAGAGCUGGAACCUAAAUAAAGUUUUAUAUUAUCUCUAGACUGGCUGGGUGACUCUGCUUAUUGCUCAGUUUUCUGUUUAAACAAACAAAAAAGCUUCAUGUAUUUAAACUGGGAGAUUAUCAAAAACAAAUCUAGAAUAUAGAUGAUAGCAGUUGACACUCGUUAUAAUGUUUAGCUCUUGGCAACCUUGUACGUUGUUAUAAUACAGAGUCACCCAAACAAAAGUACCCUGAUGAGGAAAUGGUGCAGCUGGUUGAGAAAUUGUGGAAGUGAUAGUGUUUUGAAAUGACUGGGGAGAAAAAAAACUAAUGCUUUUUGGGUAUAGUCUGGAAUGUCUUCUGUGUGUUAGAAUUGCAGGAGAUAAAAAGUGAGGAAAACAAGCAUGUUACCUAUUUCAAUUCUGCAUGUAAAAUUAGUUGUUUUAAGGUGUAAUUAAAUGGUCUAAAAUGGUAAUGGUCCUAAAGAUAACAUUGUUUGAAAUAUGUCGGGCUUAAACAUCGCACAGAGAUGUUGACUUAAAAUCCUACUUCCUCUUUGUUUUUCUGCUUGUGGUAACAUAUUUUUUUGUAGGCUUAAACUUUAUAAAAUGUAUGAUUUUGUGGCCAUGAUCAGCAAAUCUUGUGUACUGCUCAACUUCAUUGCUUCUUGUAUGAGAACCAGAACUAGGUAGCUGUGGGUGAAUGAAGAAGGGAAAAAAUAGGUGUUAUCCGCAGACUUCUCUUAAAAAGACUUCUUAAAAUGUAUGAAGUGUUUUUUCUUCAUCAUAAAGUCUUUAGCAUUUCCUUUUUGCAUUGUAGCUUAAUUUGUAAAGCGUGUAAAAAGUUUUAAACUUCGAGUGUAAGCUUUUGUAGCCUACAGGUUUUCAGAAAUGCCUUGCUUUCUUCUGUUAAAGGACAGAUUUUAUCCUCUUACUUUCUUAAAUAGUUUUUGUUUCAACCUGUAGACAGUAUUUCUCUUUUAUUGUUAUCCAUGCAAUUCAGUAGCUAAUCACCAAACUGAGAAUCGGUCUCUCCUUAUGAUUGUUUAUGAAUAUCUGAACUGUAUUAAAAAUGUCUCCAAACUGAUGCUAGUUUCCCAAACUAGUGUAUAGCUGGAAUAGCGAGGCAGCGAAGAGGUGAGAUAUUUAUUCCUUUUCAUACAAGAAGCAGGGGUGCAAAGGUGAAAUGGCUUUAUCCAAAUUGUUGUGGAAGCCCAAAACAGACUUGGCCACCAAACCCAGCUCUGCAGAGACCUGAGUCUAUGGCUGGAUUACGAGCCUCUGGUCAUGAGGUCAUGAGAAUUUAUACAGAGCUCGUCCCUGGGUUAAAAAAAAAAAAAAAAAAAGUGAGCUGAUAUAGUAAAGCAUUGUAGUUUUUUGCUAGUUUUUUGCUUCAUGGUGUUCUUUGUACUGAAUAUUCUUAACCUUGUGUCACUUAGACCACAACAUCCCAGUCUUGCUUUUACAGACCCUGUGGCUGAAGUUCCCUGAAAAUGCUUAUUAAGCAAUUGGUUUGCGUAAGUGGUAAUGUGCUCCUGAGGCUUUGUGACAGUAGAACUUAUCAACUAGUACCACGACUUCUAGUUUGUUCAAUUAAGCUCUUAUCUCACAUGUGCCUGGAGGGCUGCCAUCACACCAUAGUGCUUUUUAUCACGUGUAGACAGCUGCUUGGCUAAAACAGAUGAAACACCCUCUGCUGUAGGUCAGACCAUGUUGUGAGUAAGCUUGGUAGGGUCAAAAUGAAGUAAAACUCCUAGAUGUUCUCUAAGCAGUGUUGGAUGAGAGAAAGCGCAUGUUUUUGUUGUUUCUGUAGCUCAUUCAUUCUUAGCAUAGUAAUGGGAUAUCCAGUGCUGAAGGAGGUGGUCGCUGGGAUGCAUAGGAACUCUUGAUUUCCUGCUCUGUUGUCAUCUCUCUUGGUAGAUUUUCAUAAAGUGGGAAGCACGUAUCUCACACCUGUGGCCAGACUGCAAUCCAGACCUGCAGUACUCAGUUUUUCUAUGGAUUCGUUUAACCUCUUGCUCCUGGUUUUAGUAAUUUGUCUUUUGGCUUAGCACAUUGGGGAUCAGGUUAAUUUGCUCUUUUCCAUCAUGUGUGACUACAUUUUCUUGUGAGAGUGGGAACUGUGAAGUGAUCCUAAAACUUUAUAUCGCUUUUCUACCUUUGAAAGGUGGCUUACUCAUUAAAUGCCCCUUCUGUACCUCUGAAUGAUGCUUACUCUCCAGAGCACAGAACAGAGGUAUGGGGGAAAUUUUCAUCUGAAAGAUGUCAUGCAAACCUUCAGCAGCAGCUAUGAAGUGAGAUGUUGGGAACAUUAAACGCUGAUGAAUGGUGUGGGUUCCAUUCUGACGCCAGUCCUGCAUGGACUGGCUACCUGUGCAGUAUCACCAUCCUAUGUAUGAAGAAGUGAAUCAACUGGCUUACACGUUUAAUGCUUAAGAAGCAGUUUAGCUAUGGUAUAAAUGUGGUCUCCAGAAGUGAUUGUUCUCCUGUGUACAGUGACAAUGAUAUCUACCCACUAGAAAUGAAUUUCCAGGAAAGCAUGUGACUUACGUUGCUCACCUUACUUUCGCUAAUAGAGAGAAACUAAGAGCAUUCAUCAGAAGCAGCAAGUUUUGCAUUGAGUGAGGAGCCUUGUCUCAUAGCAGAUGUACUCAUUUGCAUGGAGUGAGCUAUUUUCAGAUGAUCAGCUCAGAAUGGGUUCAGCUAAUUCAGCUACUAAAUCUGCCAUUUCCCUCUGAGAAGUGUACAGAGAAUUGAAGUUAUCUAUCCCUGUGCAGACAGGGGAAGGAGAUGAGGAAUACGCAAAGAUUUUGGCAAGUUUAUUUAGGC